GAUGAACGCCAGCUACAGGCUUAACACAUGCAAGUCGAGGGGAAACGAUAUUGGAAGCUUGCUUCCGAUAGGCGUCGACCGGCGCACGGGUGAGUAACUCGUAUCCAACCUACCCAUGACUUGGGGAUAACCUUGCGAAAGUAAGACUAAUACCCAAUGAUAUCUCUAGAAGACAUCUGAAAGGAAUUAAAGAUUUAUCGGUGAUGUAUUGGGUAGCGUCUGAUUAGCUUGUUGGCGGGUUACCGGCCAACCAAUGAGACGAUCAGUAGGGGUUCUGAGAGGAAGGUCCCCCACAUUGGAACUGAGACACGGUCCAAACUCCUACGGGAGGCAGCAGUGAGGAAUAUUGGUCAAUGGGCGAGAGCCUGAACCAGCCAAGUAGCGUGCAGGAUGACGGCCCUAUGGGUUGUAAACUGCUUUUAUAAGGGAAUAAAGUGGGAGUCGUGACUCCUUUUGCAUGUACCUUAUGAAUAAGGACCGGCUAAUUCCGUGCCAGCAGCCGCCGUAA
rnacentral:rRNA from 1 species